rnacentral:snRNA from 9 species
AAAACCACCUGCCUGAUCAUGGUGUCUCCCAUGCACUCCGGGUGUGCUGACCCCUGUGAUUUCCCCAAAUGCGGGAAACUCGACUGCAUAAUUUGUGGUAGUGGGGGACUGUGUUCGCGCUCUCACCUG